rnacentral:lncRNA from 1 species
CAGUAUUGAUACCAAAGUGCAGCCUUUGUCUGUGCAGUUGCUGUAUGACUGCUGGACUUUGUUUUUCCUGUAGCAGAGCGAUAGCAGGGAAGGCCAGCAAGGAGCAGCAGCAGCUGCAAGGGGUGCAAAGUUCUGGAGUGUGACAGAGCCUUGGCAGCAGCGGCUGGUGCUUGUUUUCCCUCACUUUUGGUGGAAAAGUGUGUCAAUGGAUGUCAAGCAAUAAUAAACUACUACAGACAGUGCAGACUCAGUACCAGUCUCAUCAUUGCACCACAAGCACAUCAGUCUGUCUUCUGCAUGACUCAAGAUAAUGAAAAAAAGACCCAAAGGUAUGUGGAAAGGAAGAAGGAGCUGAGCAACAACCACCAGAGACAUCAAAGGUGCCUAAGGAGGUUGUAAGUUGAGGAUGUAGCAAGUGCCACCCUAAAUAGCAGUAACAGCAGCUCUGUUUAUUCAAAAUAACUUGUCAGGAAAAAGCAAUACAAUAAAACAACCAGUGCCACCUGAGACA